rnacentral:rRNA from 1 species
ACUGAAACAUCUAAGUACCCAGAGGAAGAGAAAACAAUAGUGAUUUUGAGAGUAGCGGCGAGCGAAAUCGAAAUAGCCCGAACCGUAGUUGUUUCGGCAACUACGGGGUUGUAGGACUACAAUAUGGACUUAUGUGUUAUAAUAGAAUAGAGUUGGAAAGCUCAACCGAAGAGGGUGAUAGUCCCGUACAUGAAAUAACAUCUAUACCUAGUAGUAUCCUGAGUAGGGCGGGACAUGUGAAAUCCUGUCUGAAUCAAGCAGAACCAUCUGUUAAGGCUAAAUACUCCUCAAAUACCGAUAGCGAACGAGUACCGUGAGGGAAAGGUGAAAAGAACCCUGAAUAAGGGAGUGAAAAAGAUCCUGAAACUGUGUGCCUACAAGCGGUCGGAGCCUACGGGUGACGGCGUGCCUUUUGCAUAAUGAUCCUACGAGUUACUCCUCAUUAGCGAGAUUAAGGUUUUAAGAACCGUAGUCGAAGCGAAAGCAAGUCUGAAUAGGGCGACGUAGUUAAUGGGGGUAGACGCGAAACCUUGUGAUCUACCCAUGGUCAGGUUGAAGUUCCGGUAACACGGAAUGGAGGACCGAACUGAUAAACGCUGAAAAGUUUUCAGAUGAACUGUGGGUAGGGGUGAAAGGCCAAUCAAACUAGGAAAUAGCUCGUACUCCCCGAAAUGCAUUUAGGUGCAGCGUUCAGGUAGAGUCUUAUAGAGGUAGAGCUACUGAUUGGGCUAGGGGGCUUCACCGCCUACCAAACCCAGACAAACUCCGAAUGCUAUAAGAUAUACUGAGCAGUGAGG